GGCANUGCNACACGGGCCAGACUCNUACGGGAGGCAGCAGUGAGGAAUAUUGCGCAAUGGGCGACAGCCUGACGCAGCGACGCCGCGUGGGGGAUGAAGGUUUUCGGAUUGUAAACCCCUUUCGGGAGGGAAGAUGGAACGGGCAACCGUUCGGACGGUACCUCCAGAAGCAGCCACGGCUAACUUCGUGCCAGCAGCCGCGGUAAUACGAAGGUGGCAAGCGUUGUUCGGAUUUACUGGGCGUAAAGGGAGCGUAGGCGGUUUGGUAAGCCCUCCGGGAAAUCUCCAGGCUCAACCUGGAAAGGUCGGGGGGGACUGCCAGGCUAGAGGACGGGAGAGGAGCGCGGAAUUCCCGGUGUAGCGGUGAAAUGCGUAGAGAUCGGGAGGAAGGCCGGUGGCGAAGGCGGCGC
rnacentral:rRNA from 1 species